rnacentral:rRNA from 1 species
GACGAACGCUGGCGGCGUGCUUAACACAUGCAAGUCGAACGGAAAGGCCUUUUCGGAGGUACUCGAGUGGCGAACGGGUGAGUAACACGUGGGUGAUCUGCCCUGCACUCUGGGAUAAGCCUGGGAAACUGGGUCUAAUACCGGAUAGGACCGCACUUUAGUGUGUGUGGUGGAAAGUUUUUUCGGUGUAGGAUGAGCCCGCGGCCUAUCAGCUUGUUGGUGGGGUAAUGGCCUACCAAGGCGGCGACGGGUAGCCGGACUGAGAGGUUGGUCGGCCACAUUGGGACUGAGAUACGGCCCAGACUCCUACGGGAGGCAGCAGGGGGGAAGAUUGCACAAGGGGCGCAAGCCUGAUGCAGCGACGCCGCGGGGGGGAUGACGGCCUUCGGGUUGUAAACUCCUUUCGCCAGGGACGAAGCGUUUUGUGACGGUACCUGGAGAAGAAGCACCGGCUAACUACGUG